rnacentral:antisense_RNA from 1 species
AGAUGAGCCGCGGGAAAGGAGACGAGGGGCGGUGGCCAGGCGGUUGCCCUGACAACGGGGAACCGACCGACUCUUCCCGGUAGGGAGAGGCGAUGGCGGAAUUACUCCUCUAAUGUCAAGGUAUUCUAAUCACAGAAUUACUGGAGCAUCAAGAAGUGCCUGCAUGCUUGGAAGGGCUUCCAGGCAGAUGAACACACCUCAGCACCGGGUGGCAUUUUCCCAGGGUGCAACCCGGAGCGGCUCUGGGUCACACUGACAAGCCUCUCCAACUCCCCAGGCUGGGUUGGGUGCUCCUCCCUCUCAUCCCACAGCGCUAUGUCUCAUGUCUUCUGGAAAACUUGCCAAUCCCUAGUGUAAGUGUGACUGGUCUAUUGUGAGCACCUAUUGUUCAGGGACCUCUGUUUACCUGAGGCCAGGACAAGGGCCUGGAAUGUGAGCAGGAGCAAGGGAGUGCUCGGGAAAUGGAAACAAUGAAUGAAUCAAUCAGUCAAUCAGACAACAGGGUUAACAAUUUCCAGAGACAGCCCGUACAUAGAAGGAAUGUUUACUGAAAAAAAUGAAGAGGGGUCAGGGCAAGGCGAGGAGCGAGAAGCACCCCCAAGGAAACAGAGAAGACCAGUACAACUGUACCUCUUUGCCAGCUGCACCAUCCGUACCAGUCUCCUGGGGUGGAAGUGUCCAGCGCAGAGACUGCCACACUGCAAGAUGAAGGGGCUGGACACACGGAAGAGAGAGGCGGAACCCUGCACCCCCUCGACCUCAGCCCUACUGAGUCUCCAAUGGGGCCACGCUUCUGAGUGCACCUCCCCCUGU